AUAAUGAUUGGUGAGUUUGAUGAAAAUGGACUGUGGAGGAAAACAAAUAGCAGUCAAACACCGAUUAGAACACCACUUACGUACGUCUUCUAAUCGAUAUUUUACUGCUACUUGUGUUCCUCAAGAGUACUUCAAACUCACAUCAUUAU